rnacentral:lncRNA from 1 species
CAUCUCGGGUACUGCGAGCUCUGGGUUGGUCAGGAUUCGUGGGAGGAGUAAAGAGGGUUUGGUUGGAUUGAGGGGGUCAGUAAAGGGGUGGGGUUUGGCUCUUAACUACCAGGCGUGUCUCAGCUGUGGCUGAGAGGAGGUGCUGAACAGUAGCUGCACUGCCUUCUUCCCAGAGCUUCAACCUGCCCCGGCGUCUUUGUGGAGAAUCCCUUCAUGGAUCUCAGGAGAGGAGGAAGCCUUUAGAAUCGGUGACGCAGAACCGACAUAACGGUCCCUAAGGAACUGAGCCAAAGUGUGUGACCAGGAGGAAUAUCUUCUACCACUGGCCCAAGCGAGAAGGACUAAGAAAAGAGAGCGUCCGAUCCGAAUCCAACCAAGGGACUGUUCACAUUCAGAGUUUCAGGCUAUUGGCUGGACCGGUAACAGAUCUGGCCCUGCGAGCUUUGGAACUGAGGACCGAGACCGGAUUUCAUCAGCCAGCAAUGGAAUCUCAGGAGUCGGAAUUUGAAAUCGAGUACCUCGUGGGGCAAACUGCUGGCACCACCUCAGAGGAGCCGUCAGGAUCUUAUGCUCCCCCGGAGGAUCAGGCAUGGUUGGUGCUCAGGAUUUGGGUGGAGGGUGCCCGUGACCUAGAGGGUAACAGCAAGCCGGAUGAGGCUAAAGGGGUCGCCAUACAGGCUUUAGCAGAGGGCCUGCAUGAUUUGUGGCGUAAACUGGAAGGCAAGGACUUUUGGAUAGAAACCAUAUCAUCUUACAAUUUAGCUGAAGUGGAUAGGAAUUGGAUGGAGAAGAGGGUGGGGCUCAGCAGAGGAUGGGGCUACAUCGUAAAUAAGAGAUGGAAAGUGGACCCCAAUGGCCCCAUUAUCCGGGACCCACGUGUACUGCGGUCUGCCUUACAGACUCUAGUAGAGAGCAUUCAUGAUCUGUGGUAUCGACUGGGUCAAAGAGAAGAUUCCAAGGAUUCCCGUCCUUGGGAGUUUAUCGUAGAAACCGGAUCAUUUGUCGAUGAAUUUCCGGAUAUCCCAAUGAAAGGGGAAGGGGAGAUGGAGGAAGAGAGUGGAGAGGAAGGAGACGAAGAAUGGUGGGAAAAGGGAGCAGACACCAACGUACAUGACAUUUGGGGUCCGGGGGUGGAAGAGUCUGACAUUGACACAGAUGAGGAAUCAAACCCAGAAGAUGGGGCAGUCAUGCAUUAUUCCCACUUCAAGGCACUUGCCCUCUGGGAGAGUCCCAAGUACAUGACCGGUAAGAAGGGCAUGGCACGGGGAAUGUGGGAUUUUGAGCCACUGAAUGGUAUCCUGCGGGAAAUUGUCCCACCUGUGUGGGAAGACACCUCCGAAGCCUGGGCCCGUGAUAGCCUGGAGGCUGACCAGCAGCAGGUGACCCCCUUCCAUUUCCUCCCUAAGCAUAAAUGGUACCCCCUUCUUGAGGAGAGUAGUGAGGAAGACGUUCAGCCCAUACACAUCCUAGAGGAUCGAGGUGAUUUCAUGCCAGGGGUGUCACCCUCUGAUGCUCCACUGUGGCCAGCGAAGAAGUCGCGUGCCCCAUGGAGCUCGAGGAUUGACUCCUGGGCCUUGAGUGAGGCAACAGCCCAAUUGAUUCCAAUGGUAACCACCUAUCAAGGGUCAGAGGAUAAGGUCCCAGAGAAUGCGCCCUGGCUCCCGGGACCGAGCACUGACAAUUGGUUUUUGAGCAGACCACUAGACCCCUUCAGCCAACCUAAGAUAACCUUUACUUGGGGGAAGCAGCGAUACUGCUGGACUAGGCUGCCUUGGGGGUUUCUUCAUAACAUAGCCAUUUUUCAUCCAGCAGUGCAGGGUGUUCUCGCAGAGCUCUACCCCAGGGUGGCCCCAGAUGAGAAAGAGCUCCUCUGUUGGGGGGUUUCUGAGGAGAAGACACAAAGGGUGACCGGUAUCAUCAUCAAGAGAUUGACCGGUGUGGGCCUCAAGCUUGAUGCACACGAGGCUCAGUUGGUCCAAAGAGAAGGAGAGUGGAAGAAGGAGAAAUACUGAUGGCUUCAAAUGCCAUCAU